rnacentral:lncRNA from 1 species
AAGAUCAAGGCUAACAGACCAAAACACUAAUCACUGGCAUCGACCUUACGGGACAUGCAUAGGCAGCUGGACUGAAAGAUCAUUUGCUGUCUACAUGUGUUUUUAAUCUCCAGAGAUUCCAUCACUCCCAACCGGCUGAAACAAGUUGAGAAAACCAUGCACACUAGUGAGAGUGGAUGUCCCAAGCACAAAGAGAACAUGGAAAGUAUGUUGAAUCCAGGUAAGAAGCAUGAUUGAGUUUUGUUGAGCAUCAUGGAUGGGAAUGACUGAGCUAGAGAACAUAUUCUCACAGGAUUUCAAUUUAGGAGGAAUUUAGUUACGUUCACAGGAUACCCAGUGUGGUGGUGAGUCCUACAGAGUGCACAUGCUCAAUGAAUGAAUGAAUGAAUGCCUGAAGGUCAG